rnacentral:rRNA from 1 species
AUUGAACGCUGGCGGCAUGCCUUACACAUGCAAGUCGAACGGCAGCACGGGAGCAAUCCUGGUGGCGAGUGGCGAACGGGUGAGUAAAGUAUCGGAACGUGCCCAGUCGUGGGGGAUAACGUAGCGAAAGUUACGCCAAUACCGCAUACGAUCUAUGGAUGAAAGCGGGGGAUCGCAAGACCUCGCGCGAUUGGAGCGGCCGAUAUCAGAUUAGGUAGUUGGUGGGGUAAAGGCUCACCAAGCAGACGAUCUGUAGCUGGUCUGAGAGGACGACCAGCCACACUGGGACUGAGACACGGCCCAGACUCCUACGGGAGGCAGCAGUGGGGAAUUUUGGACAAUGGGCGCAAGCCUGAUCCAGCCAUGCCGCGUGCAGGAUGAAGGCCUUCGGGUUGUAAACUGCUUUUGUACGGAACGAAAAGGUUUGGCCUAAUAAGCUGAGCUCAUGACGGUACCGUAAGAAUAAGCACCGGCUAACUACGUGCCAGCCGCCGCAGUAA